GACGAACGCUGGCGGCGCGCUUAACACAUGCAAGUCGAACGGAAAGGCCUGCUUUCCCUUGUGGAUUGCGGUUACUCGAGUGGCGAACGGGUGAGUAACACGUGAGUGAUCUGCCCCCAACUUGGGUAUAAGCCUGGGAAACUGGGUCUAAUUCCCGAUAGGACUGCAGGGUGGUGCCUGUGGUGGAAAACGAUUUUCUGGUGGUCGGGGAUGAGCUCGGGGGCUAUCAGCUUGUUGGUGGGGUAGUGGCUUACCAAGGCUGUGACGGGUAGCCGGCCUGAGCAGGUGAACGGCGACAUGGGGACUGAGACACGGGCAAGAAUCCGACGGGAGGCAGCAGCGGGGAAGAGAGCACAAUGGGAGGAAGGCUGAGGCAGGGAUGACGGGUUCGGGAUGAUGGACUCCGGUUGGUAGACCGGUAGCGCCUUGGAUGGAGCGGUAGUGACGGUAAUGGGAGAAGAAGCACCGGCUAACUACGUG
rnacentral:rRNA from 1 species